GCGCGCGCGCUGCCUUCUGCACAUGCGUGGUCGACGUUGGCAAGGCUGCUCCACGCUGUGGUGCUGCGGGUUGUUGAGGCGGAAAUAGACGGUGGAGAGGAGUGGUUCUAGAAGCGUGAAAGCGUCUGCUGCACUGUUGUCAGCACUCACAGCCAGCUCUGAAAAUAACUGAAGCCCCUGUUGUCAUGGAGCUUCAUUCCAGUACCAAGGACAACUAGGAAGCCUGUGUUUGAGAGAAGACAGAAGAUACUAGACAGAAGGUAUCAGCCCUCUAUAGGGCCACCAACCACAAAGCUCCACCAGUGCAGCCUUUUUGAGCUUUUCCCCAGACUCAGGGUGAGUAAUGAUGUGUGGCUCCUUCAUUCCUCCUGCCACCCCCAUGAGGGGCAGCAAACUGCAUGAGUAUUCCUCACCAUCAUGAACUCAUAGUAAGCUCUGCUGGCUGGGGAACCAAUUAGUCAGCAGGUGGUACCACCCAAAGAUCACCAAAUUCAGCCUCAGGAAAAUACCUGAGAACCUUUCCACCAGCCUGGAGAGAUGAGACACUGGACAGGGAUUUGGGACCCUCUGUGUCCACGGAGUCCAGGAACAUGAGGAAGUAGCAGUUUGGCAGUACACAUGACACCUUGACAUAAAACCUGGAUUUAACUAGUUAUAAGAAGCUUGGGAAAGAGCAGGCAAGACAGCCAGCAGGGGUUAGCAAAAGUUUGAGCUUCGGGAAACAGGCUGUAGUCAGAAAUCCUGAGGCUGAUAAACUCUGCAAGGAGGAAGCUGCAGAGAACUGCAGCUGUGCUGAGGCAAGUGCUGAGUGACCCCAGAAAUGCAGCACAAACAAAAGGACAAGCUCAAAACAGCACAGCCCACAAUGAGAGGCAGCAUUGCUCCUGGCAGCUAAGGAGCCUUGGGACUCUGCUGAGUCAAACUGCAAAGGCACUGGCCAUUAGGUGGAACUUGAAGCCUCAUCCCCGUGUAAGGACUUCCAAGGGAAGCAAAGCAUUCACACCUAAAACAGACUUUUGCUACCUCAAGGAAGACUGUAAGUAAACAUACACAUGCAAAGACAACUAAAACCUCAUUGUUGCUCUGUAUAAGUCUGUUCCUUCAUUGGUUCAACGGUUUUGAGUGUUACUUUUUAGAAGACACCAAGGGCAUGCACAAGACCUCUGGGUCUCCAUCAGAAGUUCAAAUCUACAUACAAGGUGAUAGAUAUAAAAGAAAAACUAAAGGUACUGAAAGCCCAUUCGACAAAAUCAUGGUAGAAAAGUUACCCAAUCCCAAGAGAGUAUCAUCCAGGUGCUACUUAGGCCUUACAGCAUUUCAAGCCGACAAAAGGGGAGACACAUUACAAGUAAAAUCACUACAUGCACAGAAUAUAGAAACAAUACUGAAAGCUACAAAGGAAAGGAGGUAAGUGAUUUACAAUAGCAACCCCCUUAGAAUAAUAACCUAUUUCUUGACAAAAACUAAAUGGAAGAAGAGCAAGGAAAGAGAAUUUAAGCCUUGAAAGACAACAAUUUUCAACCUAGCCUCUAUCCAGAGAACCUAUCCUUCAGCCUUCGUGGGGAUUUAAAAAAACAACACCUUACAUGAUGAAGGUAUUCAUGUCUACUAAGGCAGCUCUGCAAAAUAUACUUAGGGGAAUCCUACUAUCAGAAAAAGAUUUUUUUUAAAAAAAAAAAAACAGUAAACAACCCCUACUAGAAGAGUAGGAUAGCAAAGCAAGUAUCACAACUAAGUGACAGAAAAUAUGGUGUCUCAAUUCUAAAGUUAAUGUCAGUGUCCAGUUAAAACAAGGGGAGGAGAAGUUUGAAUCAAAGUUCCAGGGCACAGUGCAAAGGGUGUGGAUGUGUUUGUGGGCAUGAGUGAACUCAAAGCAGCCAGUCAGAGGGGUGAGAUACCUAGAUGGGCCCGCAAGAGAAAAUACCAGUACAGGGAGCCCAGCAGGGCAAAUCUAGUCUUGUCCAUGAGAUUUGGCUACUAGGAUUUUUACUGGUCUUGACAGGAGUUGCUACAGUGGGCUGAGAAAUAAAUCUGGGAGCAGAGGAAGGGAGAGGGGCAAGAUGAGCCAGAUGUGAUGGCCAUACCUAUUAUCCAGGUGAUCACUCAUGGCUGGGCAGGAGUCUUGAGUUCAAGAUCAAGCCCUGACUAUAUAAGAAAGUGCCUCAUAAAAUAAGAUGGGGGCUUAGGAGCUGCCUGGCAUGCUUGGCAGUGCUGGGUUCAAUCUGUAGGACAGCAGAAGGGCACUUUAGAGUCAGGUGAAGUAAACAGAAUUCUAAGGAUGAGCCAGUGACUCACUCUCGUGUCAUUCUUCUGCUUGUUUGUGGGUGGAGCCUAUAAACACCAUGCCUUGUAAGGACAGAAGCUGUCCCAUGAGCCAAAUCUCAUCACACAUGAGGUAGAUGUGCAUACCCUUACACCCACAGGGUGUGUUACAAUUGUGUCUCUAGCUGGCAGACUCAGCAUUAGGCUUCAAGGUGUGCUUCCUGUUUGGAAAUAGGGGAAUGGGGUCCACAUGACAGAGAAGAAAUGGCCUACAGAGCAGAGCGUAGGCAGUGCCUAACAGGCAGUGGGGAAAGGAGCCUUAGACCAGCCCCAAGUGGCUGGAUUCUUGUAAAACCUGAAAUAUCUCGGCAGUGGUUUUUGCCCAAAGCCGCCAGCUAGGACCCCAGCCCAGCCAUCAGUCAGUC